UCCUACGGGGGGCAGCAGUGAGGAAUAUUGGUCAAUGGUCGGGAGACUGAACCAGCCAAGCCGCGUGAGGGAUGAAGGUACAGAGUAUCGUAAACCUCUUUUGUCAGGGAACAAAGGCGGGGACGUGUCCCCGGAUGAGUGUACCUAAAGAAAAAGCAUCGGCUAACUCCGUGCCAGCAGCCGCGGUAAUACGGAGGAUGCGAGCGUUAUCCGGAUUUAUUGGGUUUAAAGGGUGCGCAGGCGGUCUGUUAAGUCAGCGGUCAAAGCCCGGGGCUCAACCCCGGCCCGCUGUUGAAACUGGCAGU
rnacentral:rRNA from 1 species